rnacentral:rRNA from 1 species
UACAGAGGGGGCGAGCGUUGUUCGGAAUUACUGGGCGUAAAGGGCGCGUAGGCGGCCCGCUAAGUCGAACGUGAAAUCCCCAGGCUCAACCUGGGAACUGCGUCCGAUACUGGCAGGCUUGAAUCCGGGAGAGGGAUGUGGAAUUCCAGGUGUAGCGGUGAAAUGCGUAGAUAUCUGGAGGAACACCGAUGGCGAAGGCAGGUCUCUGGGCCACUACUGACGCUGAGAAGCGAAAGCGUGGGGAGCAAACAGG